UCUUCCUUUUUCUCAUUCCCUCUCCGGAACUAUUUCAUUCUUCUUCUCCCUCUUCUUCCUCCUCUUCUUCUUCCUUCUUCUUCUUUACAAACCGUAAUGAUACUCUCUGUAACACUUUGAUAACGAAGCCCUAAUCCAAUUCGAUAACUAUGCACGAAAUCAGGGUUUUGGAAAUCCUAUAAAAAUGAAGAUGCAUAAAAUUAGGGUUUUGGAAAAGCAUCAGAUGCUCUGAAUCAUGGUAGAAGUCGUAAUGCUCGACAUUUAUCGGAUGUUUAGGUGUAUGAUAUGCUCAGGUGCUCUGAAUCAUGGACUUUUUUUUAGUGAGUUACAUGAUUUAGCUGUUUGCAGGUUUAUGAUUUUAGAAGUUUGAUGUGGUCUUCUCUAAAACUAAAAGCUGAUACUAGAAAAGAUGAUGGCAACAGUUCACCGGAAAAUCUGCCAAACGAUAUUUCUACUUCUGGUUUUCGUUUCUGUUUCAGUUGUGAAAUAUAUUGGCUGUGCAGUAUGAUAACUCCUUUCUGUUGCUGUUGUGUUGAUGAGUUUUUUCUAAAAUAGGCUUAACUUUGUUUUGAUGUACUGGUUUCUAUUGUGUUGAUCUACAUCAUAUAUGUUGUACUGUUGUUUUUUGUUUUGUAAAUAACUUAAAAUUCAAUAACGGGUGGUGAUUCAAAUGAAGAAGGAAGAGCAGUGGACAGGAAGAGCAGUGGAUUUUCAAGAGGUGCUUCUGUGUAUAGAGGUGUGAUAAGACACCGUCAACAUGGAAGGUGGCAGGCUCGAAUCGGACGGGUUUCGGGAAACAAAGACUUCUAUCUUGGUACAUUUAGCACACAAGAGGAGGCUGCAGAAGCAUAUGAUAUUGCAGCAAUCAAGUUUAGAGGAACAAGUGAUGUGACCAAAUUUGACAUAAGUAGGUACGAUGUCAAGAGAAUUUGGUCAAGCUCAACUCUAAUCGCCGGAGACAUCGACACCUUCUCAGUCGCCUCCUCUAGCUAUUACCGACGGCGAACAACAGCAUUCUGAUGAAUUGUCCAACAUGGUGUGGAAUUCGAACAAAGACGAGCAACCACCGCAGAACGAGUGUGGAAAAACCACCGAUGAAUUGUCCAACAUGAAUCAACAUCUUUAACCAAGUCAUUGUUGCUAAUAACUACUUCACUGGAUCGAACGAAAACCUCAAAAAAUGGAUUGGCCAUCCAAGAUUUGAGCUUAUCUGUCACGGUUUGUAUGUCAGUUUGGACAAAGAUUAGACUGUAUAUCUGCAUGCUUGUCUGGGUUUGAAUGAUGGAUAAUCUGGUUUUGUCAGAAACGCUGGCGGAGUCGGAAACUGCGGAAGUGGAGAAUCAGUAGCUAUAGAUAUUGUUGCAGUUUGGGGAGUUUAGUUUUUUUCUAAGAUGCUGUCUUCUUGUGCGACGUUUUCCGAUGAUGUGUUGAAUAUGUCGAGAGCCAUGGUAUAAUGUUUUCGCAUGUAUUGGUGCAUCAUGUUGCAGGUGAUGUUUUGCAAAAUUUGUCCUUGCCGGAGUAAUCGUAGAGCUGCGUCUUCGGCGGCCAUCUGAGCAAGCUACGGGUCUAGUGUAUGUUGUUUUUUGGUUUUGGAGUAUAGGUUAUGUAUGGUUCUGUCAGUCAUGAGUUAUGGUUUAGUUUUGGUACUGUCAUAAUUUUGUUGUUUGG